AAUCUCUGAAGGCUGGCCUGUCCCCAGGCUGGGCAGAGUAUCUCUUCAAGAAGCUCACCCUCAAAGCAGACAAGGAGC
rnacentral:pre_miRNA from 1 species